rnacentral:tRNA from 1 species
GGGGAUAUACCUCAGUGGUACAGUGCUUGCUUAUAAUACAAGAGGUCCUGGGUUCAAUUCCCAGGACCUCA